AUACGGAGGGUCCAAGCGUUAUCCGGAUUCAUUGGGUUUAAAGGGUCCGCAGGCGGGAAAAUAAGUCAGUGGUGAAAGCCUGCAGCUCAACUGUAGAACUGCCAUUGAUACUGUUUUUCUUGAGUAUAGAUGAAGUGGGCGGAAUAUAUCAUGUAGCGGUGAAAUGCAUAGAUAUGAUAUAGAACACCGAUUGCGAAGGCAGCUCACUAAACUAUUACUGACGCUCAGGGACGAAAGCGUGGGGAGCGAACAGGAUUAGAAACCCUAGUAGUCC
rnacentral:rRNA from 1 species